rnacentral:rRNA from 1 species
GAUGAACGCUGGCGGCGUGCCUAAUACAUGCAAGUCGAGCGAACAGACGAGGAGCUUGCUCCUUCGACGUUAGCGGCGGACGGGUGAGUAACACGUAGGUAACCUACCUAUAAGACUGGGAUAACUUCGGGAAACCGGAGCUAAUACCGGAUAAUAUUUCGAACCGCAUGGUUCGAUAGUGAAAGAUGGCUUUGCUAUCACUUAUAGAUGGACCUGCGCCGUAUUAGCUAGUUGGUAAGGUAACGGCUUACCAAGGCAACGAUACGUAGCCGACCUGAGAGGGGGAUGGGCCCCCCGGGACCUGAGACCCGUCCCAGCCCCCUACGGGGGGCCGCAGUGGGGAAUCUCCCGCAAGGGGCGAAAGCCUGCCGGGGCAACCCCGGGGGAGUGAUGAAGGUCUUCGGUUCGUAAAACUCUUUUAUUAGGGAAGAACAAACGUGUAAGUACCGGUGCCCGUCUUGCCGGUACCAAAUCAGAAAGCCCCGGCUACCUCCGU